AAAACCAAAUUUAAGCGGGUGGACAUGAGUUGGGUAUGUUUGUGUUUUUUUUUUUUUUUUUUUUUUUUUUU
rnacentral:ribozyme from 1 species